AAUGAUGUGCCUGACUAAAGGGUUAUUUUGAUAGAAUAAAUUAAAUAAUAAUAUUAUCUUCAUUA
rnacentral:tRNA from 1 species